CACGUAGGGGGCGAGCGUUGUCCGGAUUUAUUGGGCGUAAAGAGCUCGUAGGCGGCUUGUCGCGUCGAAUGUGAAAACUCGGGGCUCAACUCCGAGCUUGCAUUCGAUACGGGCAGGCUAGAGUUCGGUAGGGGGAGACUGGAAUUCCUGGUGUAGCGGUGAAAUGCGCAGAUAUCGGGAGGAACACCAAUGGCGAAGGCAGCUCGCUGGGACGGUACUGACGCUGAGACGCGAAAGCGUGGGGAGCAAACAGG
rnacentral:rRNA from 1 species